AAACCAACCGGGAUUGCCUUAGUACCGGCGAGUGAACGCGGCAAAAGCUCAAAUUUGAAAUCUGGUACCUUCGGUGCCCGAGUUGUAAUUUGGAGAGGGCAACUUUGGGGCCGUUCCUUGUCUAUGUUCCUUGGAACAGGACGUCAUAGAGGGUGAGAAUCCCGUGUGGCGAGGAGUGCGGUUCUUUGUAAAGUGCCUUCGAAGAGUCGAGUUGUUUGGGAAUGCAGCUCUAAGUGGGUGGUAAAUUCCAUCUAAAGCUAAAUAUUGGCGAGAGACCGAUAGCGAACAAGUACAGUGAUGGAAAGAUGAAAAGAACUUUGAAAAGAGAGUGAAAAAGUACGUGAAAUUGUUGAAAGGGAAGGGCAUUUGAUCAGACAUGGUGUUUUGUGCCCUCUGCUCCUUGUGGGUAGGGGAAUCUCGCAUUUCACUGGGCCAGCAUCAGUUUUGGUGGCAGGAUAAAUCCAUAGGAAUGUAGCUUGCCUCGGUAAGUAUUAUAGCCUGUGGGAAUACUGCCAGCUGGGACUGAGGACUGCGACGUAAGUCAAGGAUGCUGGCAUAAUGGUUAUAUGCCGCCCGUCUUGAAACACGGAC
rnacentral:rRNA from 1 species